AACGAACGCUGGCGGCAUGCCUAACACAUGCAAGUCGAACGAGACCUUCGGGUCUAGUGGCGCACGGGUGCGUAACGCGUGGGAACCUGCCCUUAGGUUCGGAAUAACUCCCCGAAAGGGGUGCUAAUACCGGAUAAUGUCUUCGGACCAAAGAUUUAUCGCCUUUGGAUGGGCCCGCGUUGGAUUAGCUAGUUGGUAGGGUAAAAGCCUACCAAGGCGACGAUCCAUAGCUGGUCUGAGAGGAUGAUCAGCCACACUGGGACUGAGACACGGCCCAGACUCUUACGGGAGGCAGCAGUGGGGAAUAUUGGAAAAUGGGCGAAAGCCUGAUCCAGCAAUGCCGCGUGAGUGAUGAAGGCCUUAGGGUCGUAAAGCUCUUUUACCCGGGAUGAUAAUGACAGUACCGGGAGAAUAAGCUCCGGCUAACUCCGUG
rnacentral:rRNA from 1 species